GCUGGGGUGGUGAAACAGGUAGACACGAUAGCCCUAGGAGCUAUUGUCGCAAGACAUGCGGGUUCGAGUCCCGCCCCCAGCA
rnacentral:tRNA from 1 species